UACGUAGGGUGCGAGCGUUAAUCGGAAUUACUGGGCGUAAAGCGUGCGCAGGCGGUUAUUUAAGUCAGGUGUGAAAGCCCUGGGCUUAACCUAGGAAUUGCGCUUGAGACUGGAUAGCUUGGAGUGACGGCAGAGGGAGGUGGAAUUCCACGUGUAGCAGUGAAAUGCGAUAGAGAUGUGGAGGAACACCGAUGGCGAAGGCAGCCUCCUGGGCCAGCACAUGACGCUCGAUGACACGAAAGCGUGGGGAGCAAACAGG
rnacentral:rRNA from 1 species